GGGGGGGGGGGGGGUCGCGGCAGAGUGGGGGAUUGUAAAAAGGGUCGCCGAAUUUAAAAGGUUGAGAACCGCUGAACUAAAGUAACAUUUCUUUUGGAAAGUGACAGGGUAGAAGUGUUUCUAUUUUUAUAGAAUUGGGGGGAAAAUAAAUUCAGCAAUUUGAUAGUAAUAUUUUUUUUGGUGUCAGAUGUUGAUGUACUUUUUUGGUCAGUUUUUUUUUUGUUGAUCUUUUGUUCAAGGUCAUUGCAUUAGUUUCUGUGUUCAGGUCAAUGUUAGACCAUGACUCCAUAUGUUGUAUAGACAAAUUGACCGUGACUCCAUGUUUUGAAUAUAUUAAUUGACCAUGACUCCAUGUU